rnacentral:pre_miRNA from 2 species
UCUUAUGGAUGAGCAAAUAAAGUAGAUUCUUAAGAUUGAAUCUACUCCUGUUGAAAAUGCUGUGAA